rnacentral:rRNA from 1 species
GGCCAGCAGCCGCGGUAAUACAGAGACUGCAAGCGUUAUUCGGAUUCACUGGGCGUAAAGGGUGCGCAGGCGGUUGGGUGUGUCAGAUGUGAAAUCCCGAGGCUUAACCUCGGAACUGCGUCUGAAACUACUCGACUAGAGUACUGGAGAGGGUAACGGAAUUCACGGUGUAGCAGUGAAAUGCGUAGAUAUCGUGAGGAACACCAGAGGCGAAGGCGGUUACCUGGACAGUUACUGACGCUCAGGCACGAAAGCAUGGGGAGCAAAAGGGAUUAGAUACCCCUGUAGUCCAUGCCCUAAACGGUGCACACUAGGUCUUGGCGGAUUCGACCCCACCAGGGCCCAAGCUAACGCGUUAAGUGUGCCGCCUGAGGACUACGGUCGCAAGACUAAAACUCAAAGGAAUUGACGGGGGCCCGCACA